UCUAAGAGCUUUUGGGCUGUCACCUUGGUAGGGCGGCCGUUCUUAUCUGCUCCUGAACAUUGCAGGAUUCCUACAUUGGGAUCGUAGAAAUUUGCUUCCGCUACAUUGGCUGUAGGAAGAAAUGGCCGUGACUCGACCUCUAACAUCUCUCAAAAGCCUGGUCCCCCUAUUCCUGCUUCGUGGUAAACAGUAACUUGUUGAUGUAGAGUGGAGGGUAUGGCAAGACUUUGGUGGAUCCAAUCCUUUCUGAGUAAUGUUCCAUAGGUGGAAGAACAAUCCACCACAAAGAAUGCCAGCAUGAUUCGCUUGGAUCCCAAGUCCACUUCUACAGGUAAUAUUCCAUGAGUUUUGGUGAUAACGCCGGAGAAGCUCGAGACCGUGAGAUCUGUGGGAAUGAGAUCUUCUACACCUCUUCCUAUUUUCUUCAUUUUCGAGGCAGGCAAUAUGUUAACAGCUGCUCCUCCAUCAAUCAAAACUCUUUUGAAGGGAACUCAUUCUAAAUGAGCUGCAACAUAUAUUGGCUUAAGAUGGUUGGCUAGUAACACGUUUGGGCGGCUGAACACCAUUUUAUCAGUAUAGAUUCUUAACGGGCCAUUUUGGAUUGUCUUGGAUGACUCAGCUUUUCCCAAUUCUUCUUCUCCAGCUACUUCAACACUGACAUGGGCCAUCAUUGGUUCUGCUGUCAGAUAGUCACCUUCCAUAGUGGUGGGCUGAUUAGGUUCAGCACCGAACAUGGCGGAUAACACAUACGUCAUGUUGAUAUGAAAGGUACUAGGCUCUGGAAAGUCUUCUUUCUUGCUCCCGAUCUGUUCCAUAAAUUUGUCUAACUAGACCAUCGCAUCUUUUGGGAGUAAAGGUUAUGGUACUCCCUCCUGUUGAUUUAUGCCCGAAUCUGGUAUUUGCUUGGGAACUUCACCGAAAAGAUCCAAUGAUACAUCAGGGAGCUUCUUAUCAGGCGAAACAGUUCCAAAACAAAUAGGCUCUGUCCUCAAUCCAGGAGUAGGCAUCAUUAUCAUAUCUUCUUGAGCUCUUCUCAAUAUCCUGUACUUCCCAGGGUGUAGGCUUUAUGGUACAUGGUUUCCCUCACCCUCUGUUUUGCUAUUAGCCAUCUGCACCUCCUUUUUACUCCUCCAGUUAAACUGACUACUUCCCCAGAGGGUGUUUUUUCAAACUUUUGAUUCUUGGAGGCUUCAGAUGUCACGGGAAUAUUUAAAGAAUUCAUAUAGGCUUUAUGUUGCCUCUGGACCUUCUGAUCAUAGAUGCUCCCAUUUGUUUAAUGGGUUGGCCAUUUUUCCCGACCACGUACCAUUUUCGUCCGAGACGGGCAUGGUUCUCCUUUUUGACAGGAUUUGAUAUCCUAUCAUUUCUUUUAUCUUCUCUCCCUGUACGGCUAUAUUGAGGAUGCCUUAUCUCCCUCUCUUUUAUACUUUUAGCCUCUUUGUCUUCUGCCUCCUCAGAAGCUUCGUGAUUUCGAAACACUUCUGAUAGAGCU
rnacentral:lncRNA from 1 species